GACGAACGCUGGCGGCGUGCUUAACACAUGCAAGUCGAACGAAGUGGCGAACGGGUGAGUAAUACGUGAGUAACCUGCCCUCCUUUUUGGGAUAAGCCUUGGAAACGGGGUCUAAUACCGAAUAAAGGGGGAUGGGCUCGCUGCCUAUCGGCUUCUUGGUGGGGUGAUGGCCUACCAAGGCGGUGACGGGUAGCAGGCCUGAGAGGGUGAUCGGCGCCAUGUGGACUGGGAAACGGCCCAGACUGCUACGGGAGGCAGCAGUGGGGGAUAUUGCACUAUAGGCGGACGCCUGAUGCAGCGACGCCGCGUGGUGGAUUAGGGCUUUCGGGAUGGAACACUCUUUCGCUAUCGAGCGGGUAGGUGGAGAAGAAGCGCCGGCUAACUACGUGCCAGCAGCCGCGGUAAUAC
rnacentral:rRNA from 1 species